UACGGGAGGCAGCAGUGGGGAAUCUUGCGCAAUGGGCGAAAGCCUGACGCAGCGACGCCGCGUGAGGGAAGAAGGCCUUCGGGUUGUAAACCUCUUUCAGGAGGGACGAAGCCACUCGGGUUAAUAGCCCAGAGGGUGACGGUACCUCCAGAAGAAGCCCCGGCUAACUACGUGCCAGCAGCCGCGGUAAUACGUAGGGGGCUAGCGUUGUCCGGAUUUAUUGGGCGUAAAGAGCGUGUAGGCGGCCAGGUAGGUCUGCUGUGAAAACUCGAGGCUCAACCUCGAGACGUCGGCGGAAACCAUCUGGCUAGAGUCCGGAAGAGGAGAGUGGAAUUCCUGGUGUAGCGGUGAAAUGCGCAGAUAUCAGGAAGAACACCCGUGGCGAAGGCGGCUCUCUGGGACGGUACUGACGCUGAGACGCGAAAGCGUGGGGAGCGAACAGGAUUAGAUACCCUGGUAGUCCACGCCGUAAACGAUGGGUGCUAGGUGUGGGCGGUGUCGACUCCGUCCGUGCCGAAGCUAACGCAUUAAGCACCCCGCCUGGGGAGUACGGCCGCAAGGCUAAAACUCAAAGGAAUUGACGGGGGCCCGCACAAGCAGCGGAGCAUGUGGUUCAAUUCGACGCGACGCGAAGAACCUUACCGAGACUUGACAUGCACUGGAAUGUCGUAGAAAUACGGCAGCCCUUCGGGGCC
rnacentral:rRNA from 1 species